rnacentral:lncRNA from 1 species
CCCCCGCAGCAAGGCGCUGCCGGACCGGGCGGUGGUGAACUGCCAGUACAGCGUGGCCACCUUCAGCACCAGCGAGCGCCAGCGCCGGCCCCACGGCGACCGCAAGGCCAGCGAGAUGUCCCUGCACCUCAAGCAGACCUUCGAGGCCGCCAUCCUCACACAGCUCUUCCCACGCUCCCAGAUCGACAUCUACGUGCAGGUGGGGACGGGGACGGGGACACGGGGACGGGGAUAUGGGGACAGGACAGGGACAUGGGGACGGAGACAUGGGGAUGGGAACAGGAUGGGGACAUGGGGAUGGGGACAUGGGGACGGGAUGGGGACAUGGGGAUGGGGACAGGGGGGGGGGGGGGGGGGGGGCGGGGAGGGGGGGGGGGGACAGUUCCUCAAUGGGGGAUGAGGAUGGGGAGGGGAUAGAAAGGGACGGAAAAAGGGAAGGGGAAAGGGAAAGGAAAAUUAAAAGGAAGGAAGGGAAGGGAAAGGAGAAAGGAAAGGGGAAAGGGAAAAGGAAAGGGGAAAGAGAAGAAAAAAGGGAGGGGAAGGGAAAGGCAAGGCAAGGAAAAGAAACAAAAGGAAAAAGGGAAGGGAAAGGAAAGGAAAGGAAAAAGGGAAGGGAAAAAGAAGGAAAGGGAAAGGAAAAAGAAGAAAAGAAAGGAAGGGAAGGGAAAAGGGAACGAAAAAGGGAGGGAAAGGAAAGAGGAAAUGGGAAGGGAAGGGGAAAGAGAAGGGAAAAAGAAGGGAAGGGAAAGGAAGGGAAGAGAUGGGAAGGGAAAGGAAAGAGAAGGAAAGGAAAAGGGAAAAGAAACA